rnacentral:lncRNA from 1 species
GUAGCAAGUAGUUGAAGCUCCCUGCCGCCGCAGCCGCCAUCAUCAUCUGGUGGUGCUGCUGCUGGUGAGAGGCGAACAAGUCCUGCUCCCGUUCCCGAUCUUGGUCCUUCCUUUCUUCCCCGCUUUUCGUUGUCGGCGAUGACCGAUCCUCUUCCCUACUACUCCCACCUCCUCCGCCGCCACCGCUGCCGUGGAAUUCCUGUUUAGUAGGGAUUCCGUGGAGGAAGAGAGGAGCAGUGACGUCGUUGGAGC